GAUGAACGCUGGCGGCGUGCCUAAUACAUGCAAGUCGAGCGAACAGACGAGGAGCUUGCCCCUCUGACGUUAGCGGCGGACGGGUGAGUAACACGUGGAUAACCUACCUAUAAGACUGGGAUAACUUCGGGAAACCGGAGCUAAUACCGGAUAAUAUAUUGAACCGCAUGGUUCAAUAGUGAAAGACGGUUUUGCUGUCACUUAUAGAUGGAUCCGCGCCGCAUUAGCUAGUUGGUAAGGUAACGGCUUACCAAGGCAACGAUGCGUAGCCGACCUGAGAGGGUGUUCGGCCACCCUGGAACUGAGACACGGUCCAGACUCCUACGGGAGGCAGCAGUAGGGAAUCUUCCGCAAUGGGCGAAAGCCUGACGGAGCAACGCCGCGUGAGUGAUGAAGGUCUUCGGAUCGUAAAACUCUGUUAUUAGGGAAGAACAAAUGUGUAAGUAACUAUGCACGUCUUGACGGUACCUAAUCAGAGAGCCACGGCUAACUACGUG
rnacentral:rRNA from 1 species